CCUACGGGGUGCUGCAGUAGGGAAUCUUCCACAAUGGGCGAAAGCCUGAUGGAGCAACGCCGCGUGGGUGAAGAAGGUCUUCGGAUCGUAAAACCCUGUUGUUAGAGAAGAAAGUGCGUGAGAGUAACUGUUCACGUUUCGACGGUAUCUAACCAGACAGCCACGGCUAACUACGUGCCAGCAGCCGCGGUAAUACGUAGGUGGCAAGCGUUAUCCGGAUUUAUUGGGCGUAAAGGGAACGCAGGCGGUCUUUUAAGUCUGAUGUGAAAGCCUUCGGCUUAACCGGGGUAGUGCAUUGGAAACUGGGAGACUGGAGUGCAGAAGAGGAGAGUGGAACUCCAGGUGUAGCGGUGAAAUGCGUAGAUAUAUGGAAGAACACCAGUGGCGAAGGCGGCUCUCUGGUCUGUAACUGACGCUGAGGUUCGAAAGCGUGGGUAGCAAACAGGAUUAGAUACCCCGGUAGUC
rnacentral:rRNA from 1 species